rnacentral:rRNA from 1 species
GACGAACGCUGGCGGCGCGCUUAACACAUGCAAGUCGAACGGAAAGGCCUGCUUUCCCUUGUGGAUUGCGGGUACUCGAGUGGCGAACGGGUGAGUAACACGUGAGUGAUCUGCCCCCAACUUGGGUAUAAGCCUGGGAAACUGGGUCUAAUUCCCGAUAGGACUGCAGGGUGGUGCCUGUGGUGGAAAACGAUUUUCUAGUGGUUGGGGAUGAGCUCGCGGCCUAUCAGCUUGUUGGUGGGGUAAUGGCCUACCAAGGCGGCGACGGGUAGCCGGCCUGGGAGGGUGGACGGCCACAUUGGGACUGAGAUACGGCCCAGACUCCUACGGGAGGCAGCAGUGGGGAAUAUUGCACAAUGGGCGGAAGCCUGAUGCAGCGACGCCGCGUGGGGGAUGACGGCCUUCGGGUUGUAACCUCCUUUCGACCGCGAGGAAGCCACCUGGUUGGAAGGGUGGUGACGGUAGUGGUAGAAGAAGCACCGGCUAACUACGUG